CCCCCCCAGCAGCCGGCUCGACACCGCCCUUUCCCUCUGAAGGGCCACUCGUUUUAGCCACGUCCUCUUAUUGUCCCUCCCCUGGCCACACCCCUUCAGACAUGCGUAGUGCUCCCCUUGGUCCAGCGCGGGAAGCUCCCUCGUGAGUGUCCGAAACUAUUAGCUCACUCACUGCCUCAUGUGAAGAUUAACUCUUAAGUACUCCACAACUACACGCUUUUGAAACUGGCGUUGGCAUAGCGUUAGUUCUGUGCAGGGCGGACGCAGCAGGACAGAAUCUCCCUGGGCAUCUUUUCGGAGCAUCAAUUUUACUGCAAAAUUUUGAAAAAACAAAUUUAAUUGAUUUCCAAGGUUUGUCAAGGAGGACAGAAACUCAGAGCACCCUGCACUUGGGGAUCGGCACUAGGAGCUGCUCUCUGGAUGGGGAGAUGGGAGCUAGCAGCUCACAAUGGGGUCACAAGAAUAUUGGUUCUUCUUUUAUCUGAAGUGAGGAGCACCAGAGGACUGAUCACGGCAUAGACAUUGACUACAAGACUCUGAACUUGCUG
rnacentral:lncRNA from 1 species